rnacentral:rRNA from 1 species
AUUGUGCUCCCCCGCCAAUUCCUAGUGCUAGUACUUUUUGUAUUAGCUUUUCUUCAGCUUAGAAAACUGAUGGAAUAAGGGCUGGGUAAGACGGGUGCCAGCCGCCGCGGUAAUACCUGCAGCCCAAGUGGUGGUCGAUUUUAUUGAGUCUAAAACGUUCGUAGCCGGUUUGAUAAAUCCUUGGGUAAAUCGAGAAGCUUAACUUUUCGAAUUCCGAGGAGACUGUCAAACUUGGGACCGGGAGAGGCUAGAGGUACUUCUGGGGUAGGGGUAAAAUCCUGUAAUCCUAGAAGGACCACCGGUGGCGAAGGCGUCUAGCUAGAACGGAUCCGACGGUGAGGGACGAAGCCCUGGGGCGCAAACGGGAUUAGAUACCCCGGUAGUCCAGGGUGUAAACGCUGCAGACUUGGUGUUGGAGACCCUUCGAGGGUAUUCAGUGCCGGAGAGAAGUUGUUAAGUCUGCUACUUGGGGAGUACGUCCGCAAGGAUGAAACUUAAAGGAAUUGGCGGGGGAGCACAAU